ensembl:rRNA 5S_rRNA 5S ribosomal RNA
GCUUACGGCCAUACCACCCUGAGCGCGCCCGAUCUCGUCUGAUCUCGGAAGCUAAGCAGGGUCGGACCUGGUUAGUACUUGGAUGGGAGACCGCCUGGGAAUACCAGGUGCUGUAAGCU